rnacentral:rRNA from 1 species
UAUGUCCUAUUAGCUAGUUGGCGGGAUAAAAGCCCACCAAGGCAAUGAUAGGUAGCUGGUCUAAGAGGAUGAACAGCCACAAUGGGAUUGAGAUACGGCCCAUAUUCCUACGGGAAGCAGCAGUAGGGAAUCUUCCACAAUGGACGAAAGUCUGAUGGAGCAAUGCCAUGUGAACGACGAAGGCCAGACAGGUCGUAAAGUUCUUUUAGAGGGGAAAAAUCUGAUGGUACCCUCUGAAUAAGUGACAGCAAACUAUGUGCCAGCAGCUGCGGUAAUACAUAGGUCGCGAGCGUUAUUCGGAUUUAUUGGGCGUAAAGCAAGCGCAGGCGGAUGAAUAAGUUCUGCAUUAAAAGCAGCUGCUUAACAGUUGUUUGUGCCGAAUACUAUUCAUCUAGAAUGUGGUAGAAAGUUUUGGAAUUAAAUAUGGAGCGGUGGAAUGUGUAGAUAUAUUUAAGAACACCAGAGGCGAAGGCGAAAACUUAGGCCAUUAUUGACGCUUAGGCUUGAAAGUGUGGGUAGCAAAUGGGAUUAGAUACCCCAGUAGUCCACACCGUAAACGAUGGGUAUUAGAUGUCGGGACUUGAGUUUCGGCGUUGUAGCUUACGUGUUAAAUACCCCGCCUGGGUAGUACAUAUGCAAAUAUGAAACUCAAAGGAAUUGACGGGGACCUGAACAAGUGGUGGAACAUGUUGCUUAAUUCGAUAAUACACGAAAAACCUUACCAAGGUUUGACAUCCUCUGCAAAGCUAUAGAAAUAUAGUGGAGGUUAUCAGAGUGACAGGUGGUGCAUGGUUGUCGUCAGCUCGUGUCAUGAGAUGUUUGGUUAAGUCCCGCAACGAGCGCAACCCUACUCUUUAGUUACUUGUCU